rnacentral:lncRNA from 1 species
UUGCUACCUUCACCACAUCACUGCUGCCCUACCAUCAUCUCUCCUUUCACCACCACCAUCAAAUCUCCUUCCACCACCACCGCUGCUCUUAUUGUCACCACCAUUACCUACCACAAUGCGGCUAUCCUCACCACUAAUACCACUGAAGCUGCUACUGCCUCCACCAUUACUGUCACCACAUCCAUCAUUAUUGUCAUGCUUAUAUUUUUAAAAUCAUUGAUUAUACCAAAUAUAUUUUUAAAAAUUUAAAAAA